GGUUCACCUCACGCAUCACGAGCCAUUCCCCUUUAAAAACAAUCCAGCCCGCUACAUUCAUCACGCCACCUCACCGCCUGCAUCCUCCACGUGAAUGUCUUUGUCAGCACGCAAGUUGAGGCCUUCAGUCGAUGUCUGCUUUGGCAGCCUUGACUUGAGUGGCCUUGUUUCUGUGGCAGGCAUUGACCGACUGUCAGACUCUCCAAUGGCAGAAAUCAAGACAAACCGAAUAUUACAUUUAGUGGCUGAACACGAGGGAAGUGCCGGGUUUGAAAUCAGGUUUAAAGAGGCUGAUGAGUGCAAUUUACAGCGCUAAACAGGACAGGCAGGAAGUGUGAAAGAUGUCAGAGUCAGUGUGGAAUAUUCAGAUGGAUUUAAAGCAGGAACAAGAGAUGUGGUGUCUAAAAGAGGAGAGGAAACACGUUUUUAAAGGAGCUGGGACAUGAUGUUUCAUAAAAACUAAUCAUUUUUAAAUCACUUAAUCCGCGGCUGUCAGAUUUAUUUCGGUUCAUGGGUUAUCUUCACGCCAAACUUUCCUUUCUUUGGUGCAGCCUUUUCUAUUUCCUCCAAUCUUCUCUCUGUCCUUGUUUUCAUUCAUUCCUUUCCUUCAUUCCUUCCUCUGGCCUAGCUUCCUUUGUUGUUUCUUCCUUCCUUUUCUGCUGAAUUCCUCCUUUCUUCUUGUGCAUCUUUCCUUAUUUUGUUAUUCUUUCUUCUUCCCUCGUUUGUCGCUCGUCUUGCUUUAAUUUUUAUUUUUUCAUUGCUUCCUUCUCCCCCCUCUUUUUAAAAAUCUUUUUUGUUCUUCUCCCUUUUGAUAUUUUCUUCAUUUUUAACAUUUCCCCAGUUUCCUUAUUUAGUUCUCACUCGUCUUUCUUCUUGACUUCCCCCUUUGUUGUUUAUUUCUUUUCUUUUUCUGUUCCUCCAUCUUUCUUUUUUUCAACACUCCCAGUUUUCUCUGUCCCUUUGCUGUUCUUUGUUUCCUUUUUGAUCUUUUCUCACUUUUUCUUUAUUUCCUAUUUGCCUGCUGUCUUAUGAGUACACCUGUGUAUUUUAUUCAUGCGUUUAAUACAUCUUUAACCUUGUAACGAGUCAGAUCAGUAAAACCAUUAUAUACUGUCGAGUUUACCCCGACCCCCAUUAAAUAUUUCACUUCUUAAAUGUGAAACUUUUACUUUUGUCUUCUUUUAACAUACAUUGUCUCACUGAGUUUAUUUUAAAUGUGCAACACUUCUGAUGACUAAGCUUUGAUAGAAACUGCAGUUCUUUUCUUAAAGUUGCCACAAACGUGUUGUUGUUGUUUUUGUAUCUCUGCUGAGGCGUCCUUAUGGAUUUCUGUGAGUACAGCUGGAAAACACAUCUAAGUUCUGGUAAAACCUGCAAUCAAACUAGCAAAGUCUGUCUAUGAUUCAGAGAUAGCAUCAUUUUAAUGUUGAUGGCACAUGAGAACAGCAACAAGCAUUGGUCCCCUGGAUGAUUUUGAUAUUUUACUGGAGAAAAUUUGAAAACUGCACUUUGAGUGAAUACCGAGGGUCAUAUUGUGGGAGAUGCUCAGUUAAAGUUUUGGUGCAGUGGUUCCUUUUGGCUCAAAGAGCCUUCCCUAUGUGGUCAUGUUUAACAUUUGUAAAUGUUUAUGUCUGUAAAAAUAUUGAACCAUGAAGGAAAAUGUUGAACUUUUUACUGAAGUUAUUGUAUGAAUG
ensembl:lncRNA